rnacentral:rRNA from 1 species
UUCCGAGGGCGAAUCCACUUCCAAUUUGAUAAAUAUAUUGCUUGUGAAAUUAAAAAACAAUUGCUUAAUUAUAGUAUUGAUUUCGGAGUUUGUAAAUUUUGUGGCAAUUGUGUUGAGUACUGUCCAACAAGCUGCUUAUCAAUGACUGAAGAAUAUGAACUUUCUACCUAUGAUCGUCAUGAAUUGAAUUACAAUUAAAUUGCUUUAAGUCGGUUACCAAUCUCCAUAAUGGGAGAUUACACAAUUCAAACAAUUAGGAAUUCGUCUGAAAGUAAAAUAAACAAAGAAAAAUCUUAGAAUUCAAGAACGAUUUCUGAUUACUAA